rnacentral:misc_RNA from 1 species
CUUGACUCAAACAUUCCUUUCACUCAUCAAUGACACCAUCCUUUCUUUAUUGCCUUUCAAUUUAGCCCCCAAAAACGACUCUCCAAGUCAUCUCUCUCUCUCUCUCUCUCUCUCUCUCUCUCUCUUCUUUUCAAUAAUCUUUGUCUCUUCAGCUUAGGUUUUCUUUUCUUUAUUACUAUACUUAUCCUCACUCUGUGAGUGAACCUCCAGAAAUUUUCAACCCCAAAAUGCUUUCACUGCUCGAGUUCCAAAAGAGACCAUAGAAUGGUUAAUGAAAGUGAUUUGGUCAUUAUUGGAGUUUCUGCUGGUUUGGCCCUUGGUAUCUUGAUAGCUUCGCUAGUAUUUUUUGGC